GUAUAAGGGCUUCUUUAGCCCUCUGGAUGAAAGCAGCCAAUUUUUUCAUAUUCUUCAAAGAUAAUAUAUCCUGUGAAACACUGAAAUGAGACACUCAUAACACGUGAACUGAAUGAACCAUAGAUGAACUGAAGAGGUUUCUUGGAUGAGAAGUGAAACAUUUUCAAGAAAAAACUAAGAAAGUACACUUGUCUUUUGAAAAGCACCUUUGGUUCAGCCAUGACCUGGAUGAUUGAGAAUCUCCACAGACAUGUGAACCGAAUAUAAUGCUGGUAUCAGUGCAAAUAGGAGGAGGAAUGAAUAUUAUAGAUGCAACCAUGGUGUGGUUGUCAGCAUGGGUUAUUCAUAAAAUGAAGGUGGAAGGAAAGAAAGAUUAAAGCUGUUCAAUCUGCCCCACAA